rnacentral:rRNA from 1 species
UACGUAGGGGGCGAGCGUUGUCCGGAUUUAUUGGGCGUAAAGAGCUCGUAGGCGGUGUGUCGCGUCGGCCGUGAAAACCUGGGGCUCAACUCUGGGCGUGCGGUCGAUACGGGCAUCACUUGAGUUCGGCAGGGGAGACUGGAAUUCCUGGUGUAGCGGUGAAAUGCGCAGAUAUCAGGAGGAACACCGGUGGCGAAGGCGGGUCUCUGGGCCGAUACUGACGCUGAGGAGCGAAAGCAUGGGUAGCGAACAGG